rnacentral:rRNA from 1 species
CAGGCGUAACACAUCAAGUUCAAGAGGAGGAUUGGGGCCUUAGUGGCGCAAGGGUGCGUAACGCGUGGGAAUCUACCCCAAAGGUACGGCAAUAAAUCGGGGAAACCCGUGCUAAUACCCGUAUGAUCUCCCAAGAAAAAAGAUUUAUCGCCUGUGGAUGAGCCCGCGUAGGAUUAGGUAUUUGGUGGGCUAAAGGCCCACCAAGGCGACGAUCGUUAGGUGGUCUGAGAGGAUGAUCAGCCACACUGGGACUGAGACACGGCCCAGACUCCUACGGGAGGCAUCACUGGGGAAUAUUGGACAAUGGGCGAAAGCCUGAUCCAGCAAUGCCGCGUGAGUGAUGAAGGCAUUAGGGUUGUAAACCUCUUUUACCCGGGAAGAUAAUGACUGUAGGGGGAGAAUAAGCCCCGGCUAACUCCGUGCCAACACCCCCGGUAAU